GUCAGCCAGGUGGUGGAGGACGGGGAUCGACGGGCCUGGCCCGGACCUCAUGAUAAAUAUUUUCAAGGGGUGGGACCCGGGACUCGGGCCCGGGUCCUCCAGAGUGGAAAGCCGAAGCGUUUCCACGCGGCCAAUCCGGCCAACCGCCCUCUAACCUUUGCACAUCCUACCAAACAUUUACAGUUUUUGAAUAAAACGAAGAACUAGCUAUUUAACAAAAAUUUAUCCUAAACCUAAGUAUUCUCCUAAGAAAGGGAAAUAAAGCCCGACUCGAAAAUAAUCCAUUUUAAUUGGCAGAAAAUAUGGCCAAACAUAAACUAAUGCGCGAAUAAAAAGUAUCGUUUAAAAAUGGAUUUUCACCUAACCAGGUUACCAACAGCUAUUUGGUAGAUUCUACCUUUAAACAAAAUUGUAUAAAAGCGUCCGUAUUCCUUGUAGGUUCGGGGCCCAGUAACCACGGGCCUGGGCCCGGGUUCUUUACCUCGGCCCGGGCCGUGAUCUGGAAGACGAAACUGUCGGCCCGCCCAAGGCGAAAAUGGCGACGAGAUGUCCAAAUGUACCAUUUCCGUUUUCGACUAUCUGUGUCCACCGUGGAAAAAUCGGGAUUUACCGUACCGUUAAAACUCUGCCCAAUUCUGCAAGAAGAAAAAGUCUUUUCCUUAGGUCGGCUGAAGAAGCGGCUGGAGCCAAUAUCCAACCUAGACGCACCGCCAGACCGAAUUUUCCCAUAGGUCCGAGUCGACCGUAACCGGCCGGCCGCCCGAUAGGGAGUAGCCAGCUAAACGGGGGAGUAAUCGACUAGCGGUCGGCCACACGGUCUAUGGACGAAAAACGAGCCGACCUCACCCUUCGACUAAUUAAAAUCGGCCGAUAAAAGUCGAUUUUUAAUGGAAUAGACAAAAAUUGACCCUACCACCACCACCCGUGGGUUUAGCUAAAAGUAUAUAGGUUUUCCCACCCCAUCUAGCCGAGUAGUGGAGAAAAGAUUACCGGUACCACCUCCCCUUUAAUUAAUUAAAAUUAAACUUACAAAUAGGGUAUGAUACACUAUCGCGUAAAAUAUUGGAAAGGGUGCCUAUGGACCACUAGACCCGAUGGCAAUAAAUAUAAAAUAGGUAACUAAAUAAAACUUUUCGGCCAUCUCUUAGCGCUAUAUCCCUCUACCGUCGGUCCGUUCCCAUCCUCUUUAAAUUGGCCCACUAAUUUUCUGACGGAAGCCAGCCCUCGGUAAGUAGGUGGCCUAAACUGUCGACCGUUGAGCCGCCUGGAAAGGAUCGCGCUUUCCACUCUGGAGGACCCGAGUCGGAGUCUCGGGUCCCAUUCCUGGAAAAUAUGUACGGUAGGGUCCGUCCAUUCCCCUCUUCCACCCUCCGGCCGACCCCUUGGCCGGGGUAGCGACCGAUGGAAGGGCUGGUUUGGCCCCGUCACGUAGUAUUCUUAGAGAAUGGAAUGUGGCGUCAUCUGUCGAC
rnacentral:lncRNA from 1 species